AGCGGUGAUAGUUUUGUCUGGCA
rnacentral:miRNA from 1 species